CAGUCGCCGCGGUAAUACGGAGGGUGCAAGCGUUAUCCGGAUUUAUUGGGUUUAAAGGGUCCGUAGGCGGAUCUGUAGGUCAGUGGUGAAAUCUCACAGCUUAACUGUGAAACUGCCAUUGAUACUGCAGGUCUUGAGUAAAUUUGAAGUGGCUGGAAUAAGUAGUGUAGCGGUGAAAUGCAUAGAUAUUACUUAGAACACCAAUUGCGAAGGCAGGUCACUAAGAUUUAACUGACGCUGAUGGACGAAAGCGUGGGGAGCGAACAGGAUUAGAUACCCCGGUAGUCCCUGUCUCUUAUAA
rnacentral:rRNA from 1 species